rnacentral:lncRNA from 1 species
AGUUUUCUGAGAGCCAAGUCCUGUAUACAUCUAACAAGGCUUAGGAUCAAAUUGUGUGCCCGAAAUGAAACAAUUUCUUCUUCAUAAAAUGCUGAAUUGUCAAAGUCUGUCAACUUUGGGGUUUAUGAGUAAGAGCAGUUUUCAGUUUCUGGUAUUGACUUAACAUAUCCAGCUUCAAAAAACAUAAAGAAUGGCUCUGAGUAACACGAUGCACUUUUACCCCUGGCAGACGAGUCUCUGAUUAUCACACGUUGCACUUUGGCCAUCAGUUCACACAGAAUCAUUAAAACAUUGGCCUUGAAAAAACGAAUAUGCUGACUAAGCGCGCUGAAGCCUACCACACAGUUCCUGUUCCUACUGUCAGAAUGAUUAUCAAAACCCACAAACUGAUUAUUUCUCAAGUUUCGUCCUUGGGCCUACCAAAAGGAGCCCCAGGGGUGCUGAAUGCUUUACUUGCUCACAGUAUACACCUCGUAUAAAGAUUUUUGCCUCCCAACAGCAUUAGACUGACGUCUGUUGAACGCAAUGCAAGGGCAACUCCCUUGCCAAAGAUAUAAAAGAAUUUAAAUCCAGGAAAUAUUUACAAGUCCGGAGUGAAUUCAUGCUAUAUUAAUUGAUGGCAUCAUUACUUAGGGAGCCGAGCAAGAAUGGAAGAAUGGGGGACCUCCUCAAAGGCUCUCACACGGUGGUCCCCGGGAGUCCCAGGGGGCCUUGGCCGCUGGGAGGCUCCCAAGAAAAGUAAAGGCGCAGAGGAGUGCCAUGAACUUUGACCCCAGCACGGCACAAACAAGACCGACCGCACCCCAGGAGGGCCCGCGGGGUAACUGAAGUUGCAGGGUCUUCCGGGUCUGAGGAAACCCCGCCCCGCCCCGUCCCGCCCCGCCCACCGCCAACUCCGCCAAUCCUCAGGCGCCAUCGACCGCUCGGCUUCCCAGGCACCUCCAAUCAAGUACCUAUAUCCGGCCCCAUGCCUGUGCCCUGCGGUCAGGGGAGGUCAGUAGAGAGCCUAUCGGAGCCGAGCUGGGGGCGUGGUCGGGGGCAGGGGGCGGACGAACUGAGACCGCGGGGCGGAGCGCGCUCGGCGCAGUCGGGUGCGAUUGGCCACCCCUGGCAGCAGCCGCACCUCGGACAGCAGCAGCCGCGACCGCCGGAGGGUCCGUGUGGCGCCCGGCGGCGACGGCGGCGGAGUCCUGCGUGAGAGUGGGACCCGACACCGAGACCGCGGGCGGAGGCUCCGCGUGGCCGGACCCGACACUCAGCGACCCGAGCGGGGGAUCCUCCGGGGGACAAGCGGCAGAAGAGCGACUCGGGAACAAGUGUGGGAGAGGAAGCGGCGGCGGCGACGCCGGGCCCGGGGGUGGUGACAGCAGGUCUGAGCUUCUAUCAGCUGUUUUGCUUUGAUGUCUCCACCUCUUUGCCACUUUAAUCAAGCCUUCCUGAUGAUGACAUUUGCUUCUACUUAUGGCACUGUACAUCUAACAUUUAUCAAGUGCCAAGGAAACCCAGGGAGGUUUGAGUACUAGUGAAGAAGAAACAAAAAUGUGAACCUGACUAAAACAUCCAUACUGGAAGAACUGGAUUUGGUCAUUUCCGGCUGUAGGAAGGAGGUGAGAAAGAGGAAGGGGGCUGUCCUUAAAAAGGCAAAAGAUGAGCAGAGAAUGAGGACACAAUUGUUGAGGAACAGAAAGAAUAGCAGAAAUUUAGGAAGAAAAAAGCACUUGGCAAAAUAUCCUUCAGUAUACUAAAGAUUUUUCAGUGUGUGUAUAUUUAAUGUCAUGAGGUUAUUUAGAAAACUGGCUCUGGGCUCAUCUUUACUUACAGUGAGUCUUAUAUUUGAGAGCUGGCUUCACUAUGAUUAAUCCUCUCUUCUUUGGUACUCAGCCUCCACCCCGACACACAGACACAGUCUCUGAGAAUUAUCUCCUUUUUCACUUGAAAUUCAGCUCACAUUUCCUUACUCAGACUUUUGGAAGUUACCACUCAGACAGAUGCAAAUUCAGUAUUAUGCCUGCCAAAAUGCGCAGAAAAGAGACUUUCUUUUACACCUUCCAUCUUUUGAGCUUUUGGUCCUGCUCUUUCAAUCUUUGCUAAAUAGUAAAUGGGGAGAUUGUUGUUCAGAUGAACACGAGUGCAUUUGCAUUACU